rnacentral:lncRNA from 1 species
CCAUCAGCAGGUCUGGGGCAGCGAGCAUGCCUUCAAGCCCAAAGCAAGCCAGGAAAAUGAACCUUCAGGACAACUUGCCGCUUCAGCCCAGGUUAAGUAGGCACAAAGAGCAAGCCUCUGAAAACGUCAGUGUGAGAACGAGGAAAUACUCAGGCAGCAGUCUGAGUAAUAUGGGUGCCUACAGCCGAUCGCUCCCCAGGUUGUAUAAAGCCACAGACAACCAGAUGUCGCCUCUCAGCCUGCCUCCAAGAAAUUCCCUGGGCAAUUCCAGACGAGGUCAGUUAGGAGAAAAGGAUCUACCUCACAGCCUAGUGGAUAAUGACAAUUACCUUAACUUUUCUUCUCUGAGCUCCGGGGCUUCACCCUAUAAAACCUGUCUGUCAGAUGGAAAUCCUUACGUAAGCUCCGCUCU